rnacentral:sRNA from 1 species
UCCGUAGGUGAACCUGCGGAAGGAUCAUUAAUAGUGCCCUCUGAUGCAAAUCAUUGGGUUAGAUCUGCUCUCUUCGCAAGAAGAGGGUUUCCAUACACACCGUGAACUGUGGCUUCGGCCAUCACAAACUGUUAGUAAUGAAUGUAAUAUCAUAACAAAAACAAAACUUUUAACAACGGAUCUCUUGGCUCUCGCAUCGAUGAAGAACGCAGCGAAAUGCGAUAAGUAAUGUGAAUUGCAGAAUUCAGUGAAUCAUCGAAUCUUUGAACGCACCUUGCGCCCUUUGGUAUUCCGAAGGGCAUGCCUGUUUGAGUGUCAUGAAACCUCACCCCACUUGAGUUUUUGCCUGAGCGGUGGUGUAUUGGGUGUUGCCUUGCUAAAGGCUCGCCUUAAAGACAUAAGCACCUUGGAUGUAAUACGUUUCAUCCUUCUGGGUGGCUGAUAACCCCACAUACUCAUGAUCUGGCCUCAAAUCAGGUAGGGCUACCCGCUGAACUUAAGCAUAUCAAUAAGCGGAGGAAAAGAAACUAACUAGGAUUCCCUUAGUAACGGCGAGUGAACCGGGGAUGAGCUCAAAUUUAAAAUCUGGCGUCUUUCAGGCGUCCGAGUUGUAAUCUAUAGAGGCGUUUUCCGCGCCGGACCGCGUCCAAGUCUCUUGGAAUAGAGUAUCAAAGAGGGUGACAAUCCCGUACUUGACGCGACAACCGGUGCUCUGUGAUACGUUCUCAAUGAGUCGAGUUGUUUGGGAAUGCAGCUCUAAAUGGGUGGUAAAUUCCAUCUAAGGCUAAAUAUUGGCGAGAGACCGAUAGCGAACAAGUACCGUGAGGGAAAGAUGAAAAGCACUUUGGAAAGAGAGUUAAACAGCACGUGAAAUUGUUAAAAGGGAAACGCUUGAAGU